GGGUGUGGUGGCGCACAUCUGUAACCCCAGCAGCUUGGGAGGCUGAGGCAGGAGGAUCGUGAGUUCGAAGCCAGCCUCAGCAAAAGCAUGGUGCUAUGCAACUCAGUGAGACUCUGUCUCUA
rnacentral:sRNA from 1 species